CCCUUAGAUGUUCUGGGCCGCACGCGCGCUACACUGAUGCAUUCAACGAGUCUAAAACCUGCUCUGAUAGGGGUGGGUAAUCUUUUGAAUGUGCAUCGUGAUUGGGAUAGAUGAUUGCAAUUUUUCAUCUUCAACGAGGAAUGCCUAGUAAACGCAAGUCAUCAGCUUGCAUUGAUUACGUCCCUGCCCUUUGUACACACCGCCCGUCGCUCCUACCGAUUGAAUGAUCCGAUGAAUAUCAUGGAUUGAGGAUGCAAGCAGGUUCGCCUGUCUUCAUCUUCGAGAAGUGAAGUAAAUCUUAUUAUUUAGAGGAAGGAGAAGUCGUAACA
rnacentral:rRNA from 1 species